UACGUAGGGUGCGAGCGUUGUCCGGAUUUAUUGGGCGUAAAGAGCUCGUAGGCGGUUUGUCGCGUCGAAUGUGAAAACCCGGGGCUCAACCCCGGGCCUGCAUUCGAUACGGGCAGACUAGAGUUCGGUAGGGGAGUCUGGAAUUCCUGGUGUAGCGGUGAAAUGCGCAGAUAUCAGGAGGAACACCGGUGGCGAAGGCGGGUCUCUGGGCCGUAACUGACGCUGAGGAGCGAAAGCAUGGGGAGCGAACAGG
rnacentral:rRNA from 1 species